AGGGUUGUGGCUCAGUGGUAGAGCACUCGCCUAGCAUGUGUGAGGCCCUGGGUUCGAUCCUCAGCACCACAU
rnacentral:tRNA from 1 species